rnacentral:rRNA from 1 species
GGAUCCCAUCAGAACUCCGAAGUGAAGCGUGCUUGGGCGAGAGUAGUACUAGGAUGGGUGACCUCCUGGGAAGUCCUCGUGUUGCACCU